rnacentral:tRNA from 1 species
GCCCUCGUAGCUCAGUUGGAUAGAGCGAUCGCCUCCUAAGCGAUAGGUCGUGGGUUCAAUUCCCGCCGAGGGCACCA